ensembl:misc_RNA 7SK 7SK RNA
GGAGGGCAAUCUGACUGCAAGCUCUGUCCCCACGUUGAUCACUAGGGUUAAUUGGGCUGAUGUGGCUGGCUAGACAGUGUCUCCAUCGUCCCUCGCUGCUCCACGUGGCGAGGACACCUGCCUUGACAGAGGAGGAGUGCUUCUCUAUCGAGUGUUUACAGGUGGCUGCGCUCCCCUCCUAGGACCUCCAGACAAGCCCUCGUGGACCACUUGUAGGAAAAGGUAGGGUAGUCAAGCUUCCAUAACUCCAGACACACAGUCAGAUGAGGCUCGUGUCUUUCU